GAUGAACGCUAGCUACAGGCUUAACACAUGCAAGUCGAGGGGAAACGACAUCGAAAGCUUGCUUUUGAUGGGCGUCGACCGGCGCACGGGAGAGUAACGCGUAUCCAACCUGCCCACCACUUGGGGAUAACCUUGCGAAAGUAAGACUAAUACCCAAUGAUAUCUCUAGAAGACAUCUGAAAGAGAUUAAAGAUUUAUCGGUGAUGGAUGGGGAUGCGUCUGAUUAGCUUGUUGGCGGGGUAACGGCCCACCAAGGCAACGAUCAGUAGGGGUUCUGAGAGGAAGGUCCCCCACAUUGGAACUGCGACACGGUCCAAACUCCUACGGGAGGCAGCAGUGAGGAAUAUUGGUCAAUGGACGAGAGUCUGAACCAGCCAAGUAGCGUGCAGGAAGACGGCCCUAUGGGUUGUAAACUGCUUUUAUAAGGGAAUAAAGUGAGUCUCGUGAGACUUUUUGCAUGUACCUUAUGAAUAAGGACCGGCUAAUUCCGUG
rnacentral:rRNA from 1 species